rnacentral:lncRNA from 1 species
ACCCUUGCUGGGACUUAUUAUCACCCAGAAGCAUCUACAGUUCCAAAUACCACAGCGUCCAUGCAGGCAGUUAAUGCUGCGACAGCUGGCUAUCCUACACCGGCUCAUGGUGAAGUCCCACAAGUAGCAAGUGAUUACGCAUACAAACCUCAGACCAUAACUGGUAAUUACACCACCAGUCAUUCACAGCCUGGAACUGUGGGAGAAAGUACAGAAUCGUAUGCUGGAGCAGUUAGUUAUCCACCACAGCAACAUACUCAACUCUAUGCUGGUGGACCUGGAUAUACCCAACAACCCCACGAAACUGGGUACGCUCAUCAACUCUAUUCUGCAUCAACUGCGUACGCUCAGCAAAACCAUGCUGCUUCAACUGGGUACGUUCAGCAACCCCAUGCUGCAACAACUGGGUAUGCUCAGCAACCCCAAGAUGCAGCUGCUGGAUACGCUCAACAACCCCAUGCUGCAACAACUGGAUACGCUCAGCAAUCCUAUGAUGCAGCAACUGGAUACGCUCAACAACUCCAAGAUGUAGCAACUGGAUACGGUCAGCAACCCCAUGCUGCAGCAACUGGAUACGCUCAGCAACCCUAUGCUGCAACAACUGGAUACGCUCAGCAACCCCAAGAUGCAGCAGCUGGGUACGCUCAACAACCGUAUGGUCAAGCUGUUGGAUACACAACGCAAUAUGGUGCCCAGGCUGUUGGAUACACGCCUCAAUACAGUGCUCAAGCUGGUGCAUACAGUCAACAAGCUGUGGCGCAAGGUUCUGUGCCAGGGGCUCCCAGGACAACUGAUUGGAAUGCUGCAAGCCAGGCAUAUGCUGCAACAGGAGACUGGAAUGCGGUGAAUCAGUCUUACUACCAUCACACAGCAGAUACAACCACAACCUAUAAUCAGACAUCUUAAAAACUGGUAUGACAGAGAGGACCUCUGUUAACUCUCGUGUACGUACUAAAACAUGGUUUCGAUUUCAGGUGAGAAACAGUUUAAUGAUGAUGAUAUGAUGCUGAAAACCUCUUUGCAGGAUCUGGAAAACAUGUGCGUGGUGGAGAAGCAUGGAUGUGAACUAGUGCACUCACUGGAAAGAAUGGAACAAAGACAUAAAAGGUAGAGUCUCCAGCUCGUUUCCUCUUAUGUUAAAAAAAAGGCUAUAACGGAUUUAAGGUUUUUAUUUUCUCUAAAUCAUCAAAACUUAUUCAAAUCCCUAUUCAGAAGUGCAAUUUGAAAUGCAAUUACGAUGGGGAUAUGAAACGAAUAAAACCAUAUUAGAACUCUUUUUAUUACAAGCUGUCCUAAAACAUUUAUAUUCUAGUAUGUUUGUGUUUAAUACUUGGGAUCUGCUAUUAAGUAUAUAACCUACAAUGGUCAACUCUACUUGUGUGCAUUUUUUCCCCCGUUUGAGAUUUGUACACACAACCCCGCUUCGAUUCUCUGAAUAAACCAAAAUACGAGUGCAUCUUCGGGUUUGAGUUAGAUGCAGAAUCGUCUUCAUCGUAGAGAAGUAUCUUUGGUCUUGAAAGAGACGACGCACAAGACUUUUACGUAAAAUCGUCUUCAUGCUGGGUAUGAACAUGAUGAUUAGACAAGUGUCAAGUAGCAGGAGAUAUAACACGUGUCUUUUAACUUUACAAAUCUCAAAUCUCUGUAUGAUUUGGAGUACGCCUGGGCAUUUCACAUAUGGCUUGGUUCGGGUAUAACGGAUUUCGGAUAGUUAGGAUAUAAGGUUUAAUCUACUUUCAGUUCAGUUCAGUUCGGUUCGGAUAGUUUUUUUGAGUUCGGUUCAGUUUGGAUAGUAAAACUAGGAACCGGAAAAUAUCCGGAAAAAAUCAGUUUAUUUGGUUCCGGUUCGGAUUCGGAUAGUUUUGGUAAUUCAGAUAAAAUAUCGGUUAUUUAAGGUAAAAUAUCAAAUAAUUAAGGAUGAUUAAAAUAAGAAGUUUGGAUAUCUGGAUAUUUCGAUUAUUUUGGAUAUUUGGAUAUUUCAGAUUACUUUGGAUAUUUCAGAUAAAACUAUCUGGAUAGUUUCAGAUAUUUUUGGGUAGUUCAGAUACUUUAUAAUAAUUUAGAUAUCUUCAACUAUUUUUGGAUAGUUUUAACAGAUUUUUAAAUUAUAUAUAUAGUUAUGUUAUAUGUAUAUAUAAUUAAUAUUUUUAUUUAUUCGGUUAUCCGUUCAGUUCUCGGUUCGGUUAUUUUGAAUAUAAAAAUCUAAGAAUCGUUCGGAUAUUUGAAGGUUUCAGUCUAGUUCCGGUUUCCGGUAUUUCGGUUCGGUUCUUCGGUUCCUGUUUUUCUACCCUGGUCAAAUUUCGAGCAAUCUGAUGGAUCCGUUAGUUAAAUAGGAGGCCUAUAUUAAUCUAUAAAGGCCCAUUAGGUCUCGGCCCACUCAUCUUCCAUAAUCACCCACGCGAGCUUCCUUUCUUUCAGUUAUUGAACGAAAGUCAUCAUCUUUCAUGAACAAACCUUCUACAGAUUCGCACUUAUCAGAUCCUCGAGCAUCCUGAUCCCAAUUCAAUUUCUCCUCCCUAGGGCUUCCCAAAUCGUCCAUCCCUCUUCCUCCGGUACGUCAAUUAUCAAGAUUCGAUCCCACAUCAAUCUCUCAAACCCCUAAAGUUACCUACAAACAAUGGCAGAGACUAUGGAGGCGGAGAUGGACUUCUCAGACGGUGAGCAAACCAACAGAGCUUCUCUCGUGGCUCUCUACGGCAACUCGUCCGUUGUUGAACAGCACCUCCCUGGCUACAUCUUCAUGUGUAACGGCAGGACCAAACCGGAUUGCUUCCGUUACCGUGUCUUCGGGAUCCCGAGAGGUGGGAAAGGAGUUGUCGAGCGGAUCAAACCGGGGAUGAAGCUGUUUCUUUACGACUUUGAGAAGAGGCUUCUCUAUGGUGUGUAUGAGGCUAGUGUUGGUGGGAAGAUGGAUAUUGAGCCUGAUGCUUUUGAUAAGAUGUAUCCUGCUCAGGUGAGGAUUUUGAAUACAAAAGGUUUUGUUUUGUGUUUUUGAGAUUAAUCUUUUUUUAAUAUUAAUCUUGGCAGGUUGGGUUUAGGAUUGUUGACAACUGUUAUCCUUUGCCGGAGAGUACUUUUAAGUCUGCUAUCUAUGAGAAUUACAAAGGGGGAAAGUUUAAUCAAGAGCUUGCUCCUCACCAAGUUAAUACACUACUCUUCCUUGUUAUUUUACCAAUGUUCAAGAAUUAGUUGUAUGAGAUUAUUGAUUAGGCGGGCGUCUAGACCGAUUUUUUUUUUAAUCGUUCUGAAAAAAUUGUUACAUUCUUCCUUGUUAUUUACCGAUGUUCGAGAAAUCGCUAGGUGCUGGUUAUCCGUUUUAUAUGAGAUUAUUGAUUAGCGCGGGAGCCUAGACCGAUUUUUUUAGUGUGUUAAGACUGAUUUUUUGAAGAAUCGUUCUGAAAAAAUUGUUACAUUCUUCCUUGUUAUUUACCAAUGUUCAAGAAAUCGCUAGGCGCUGGUUAGGCGCUUUGUAUGAGAUUAUUGAUUAGUGCGGGAGCCUAGACCGAUUUUUUUAGUGUGUUAGACUGAUAUUUUUGAAGAAUCGUUCUGAAAGAAUUGUUUUGUUUAGGUCUGAUUUGCUGACUAGGCGAACCGAACUUUUAGAAAAUUGAUAUGUAUAACACAUGUUUAGAAGUGAGACUUUCCUGUUGUAUUGUGAUUACAAUGUUGCUGAAUUUAAAAUGAUCAUGGAUUUGCAGGUGAUGUCUCUGCUAUCAUUGUUUCGUUCAUUUGCUGCUCCACAACUGGAUGCAUUACCUCAUAGAUUCGCUUCUGGAGCCUCAGCAUCAUCCAGGGAGCUAUCUUUUGAGGAACGGUUCAUUGCUGCUACACAACUCAAGAAAGCUUCCUCAGUUUUAGAUCCUUUGUCUGCUCGCUCACAUCUGCUUAAUCAUAGUUACUCCAGACAAGACGGCAGCUACACAACCCCAGGGAGAGAAAGAGGAUAUCUCUCAAAUUUGGAUCACCCUUAUUCUCCUGCAGAAAGUCAGCAGCAACGGUUGAUAGGAGACCCUUCACGCUCAUCUAUACAAGACCCUCAGCUCAAGUACCUAACGAUUUUAUCUAAUAUCCGGAGGUAACUAUGGUUGUAUUGGUUUUUAGUAGUUCUUUAGUCCAUAACUUGAUGGUUUGUCUUCCUAUUCCGUGCUGACUGCUAAUUUGGACCUGAUAUUUGUAGUCAUCAGAGGUUUAUCAAACUGAGAACUAUACUAGACUCAUUUUCAAUGCUCGAUAACUAUGCUAUUACAAAUUAUGAGAAAUAUUAAAAACGAUACAACUCUACUAGUCUUAUUACACUCCUUUAUCUUGUUUCUUUUUUAUGGUUUUGCAGAAUGUGUAAUUAUUAGUGCUUUUUUUUUUUUUUGCUGUGACAGAUAUGGAAGUGCACCAGAGCCCUUGUCCUCGGAAAAUGAAUAUCAUCCGGCAACACUAUCAGAGAAAGAUCAGUUUGCUUCACCUUAUUCUGAUAAGAAGUAUUACCUUUCGACAUUACCUGGGAAUGAGCACUCGUCUGCAUCUGCAGCUAACGGGAGUGUGUAUAGAGGUGAGCUCUAUACUUCAGCAUCACAAAGGGAAGGGGAAGCUAGUCAGCAGCAUGAGACCCUUGCUGGGACUUAUUAUCACCCAGAAGCAUCUACAGUUCCAAAUACCACAGCGUCCAUGCAGGCAGUUAAUGCUGCGACAGCUGGCUAUCCUACACCGGCUCAUGGUGAAGUCCCACAAGUAGCAAGUGAUUACGCAUACAAACCUCAGACCAUAACUGGUAAUUACACCACCAGUCAUUCACAGCCUGGAACUGUGGGAGAAAGUACAGAAUCGUAUGCUGGAGCAGUUAGUUAUCCACCACAGCAACAUACUCAACUCUAUGCUGGUGGACCUGGAUAUACCCAACAACCCCACGAAACUGGGUACGCUCAUCAACUCUAUUCUGCAUCAACUGCGUACGCUCAGCAAAACCAUGCUGCUUCAACUGGGUACGUUCAGCAACCCCAUGCUGCAACAACUGGGUAUGCUCAGCAACCCCAA